rnacentral:rRNA from 1 species
UACGAAGGGGGCUAGCGUUGCUCGGAAUCACUGGGCGUAAAGGGUGCGUAGGCGGGUCUUUAAGUCAGGGGUGAAAUCCUGGAGCUCAACUCCAGAACUGCCUUUGAUACUGAAGAUCUUGAGUCCGGGAGAGGUGAGUGGAACUGCGAGUGUAGAGGUGAAAUUCGUAGAUAUUCGCAAGAACACCAGUGGCGAAGGCGGCUUACUGGCCCGGUACUGACGCUGAGGCACGAAAGCGUGGGGAGCAAACAGG